rnacentral:lncRNA from 1 species
GCUGUCCCCUGCUGCCUUGUCAAGAAGGCCACCAGGCCCCGGCCAGGGCGGCCAGCCUCCAUCCUUGCCGGCUCCCCUGCAGUCCGUCCAGGGCAGUGGGAGCUCAGGGGCACCCUCUUGGCUUCAGUGAGCCCCAGAAAGCCCCCCGGGGACCAGGCUGCCCUUCUGAUGCUCUGCUGACAGCCCGCAUCUCAGCUCUCCUGGCCCUGCCACCCCUCUCUCAGCGCCUCCCCGUGCCCCCGGGACCCCCCACCGCAGGCAGCAAUGGAGCCUCCAAGUAUCAGCGGGAGCACAGCCAGCCAGGGUCAAGACUACGCUUCCCAGCUCCUCACAGUGAGAGAUGGCUACACCAUUCAACUCUGGCCAAGAAUGCAAGAGAAGAUGACACUUGCAGCUUUGGGAGACAUCCUAAAAGGGAAGCAGUGGGCCCUUCUUACCUAAUGGCUAGAAUGGGGAUGUGAUGGCUGGAGGUCAAGCAGCCUUAUUGCACCAUGAAGUAGAAGCCUUGUGUCGAGGAUGGGAGAGCAAUAAGGUAGGUCUCUGAUGACUAUGGAACCACCCUACCAGCUUUCGGCCUCCUACCCCAAGACUUUAUCCAUGUAAGAGAGAAAUACACAUGUACUUUGUUUAAGCUGCUGCUGCUUGGAGUUUCUGUCUCUCUCAACGACACCUAAUCCUAAUAAUGAUGGACACGUGACAUGGCCACUAAAGAUGGCGUUCCUGCAAAGGAAACACAGCUGGAGCCCAGUGACAACCUCCAUUCCACCACCUGCUGGGGACGUGCUGCUUGAAGACUGGCCGCCUGCGGCUCCUGGCUUCAUACGUGCAGACCUGCUGCCGUGCAGAGUGGGAGCGAGGGCCUUCCUCCUGUCUACCCUUGGUGCCUUUGGAAUUUUGAAAUGAGUGAAUGAAUUACCUAUUUGAAACAUGGAGGGCUGAAAAUAACAAAAGUGAAAUUCAAGAGUGAUCUUCUCAGCUGUCACAGCACAGGGAGAAGGUGGGACUCAGGCUGGAGGAAUGAGGGGACCUCAGCUUUCUCUGUACCAUGUUACGUGUUAUAGUUAGAAAACAGGCAAAUAAAGGAAUAAUAACUGUCCCUUGUGGGUGGUGGGGACGUGGGG